rnacentral:lncRNA from 1 species
AGACACCCACACGAAAACCGGAAGGCAGCCUUGAGUGUCGUGUGAUAAGUUUAUCGGCGCCAUCUCGCCAGCCACCCCCUCCCCAGGGUCUCGAUCAAUGGGACACAGUGCGCCUCCAGUCUGAGAGGCUUCCUUGGGUGGGUGGUGGGACUGCAAGGUGGCCCUUUGGCAGAGUCUACAAGAGCUAAAUUAGGUCGCCAAGUGGCCCAUUACCCACAUAAUCUAGCCCUACCUUCCAGAACAACUGAGAAAUGCCUCAGUGGGCAGAGCCUCAAGUCCACCAGAUAACAGGCCCCAACUUGACCUCUUGUCAUCAGAAAUCACUGCCAAGUUUCCAAGCCAGGGAAAGAGCAACAGUCGUGAGGCCUGUUCCACGCACCCACCUAUGAUCCUCUCGCUGGAGGCAGAGGGCGAACAUUUGAAACUUAGGAGAUUUCAUAUAGAACUCCAGAUUUUUUAUUUCUUUUGAAAAAUUGGAAAUUCUGGUCACCCUGGACCUGAAAUCUUAACAGUCACCAGCCUAGAACAGAGCUGAAGAAAGACAGAUACUCUGUGUUGGAAAUUGCAAAAGCUCUCUGCAAGAACAACUCCAUCCGAACCCUGCCCUACGACACUCAACCAAGCUCUAGCAAAGCUUCUGGCAGCCUCAGGCCACACCCCUGGGACAACCCACCGCCGCUUUGCACUCCUGUGUGGAAAAGCUCAGGGCUGCCAAAAGAAUUCA